rnacentral:lncRNA from 1 species
GGCCAUUUUUGCUUCUUAUAAAGAUCUUUAGACAUGAGAUUUAUUUCAGAACCAUGGUCCACCAAAGCAACUAUUGGUUCUUCUAUAUCUCCUACCUUCACCAACACCUCAGUAGUUGCCCUUGCCCAAUGCUUUCGAGUAUAAUGGCUCAAAGUUUCCAUUUCCUUGUCACUAGAAUCUUCGAAACGUACUCGCUGAUUAUAUCCAUUCUUUUCAUUUGUUGGUUGCUUGUAACCAAUAUCAACCUCUUCUUCAUCUCUACAUAUUCUUGCAUCAAUAGCAUGACUCAUUCCAGUUUCGCUCAUUAAUUGCCUCUUUCGCUUAAUGCUGUCAAUG